GCGGAGGAAAAGAAACCAACAGGGAUUGCCCUAGUAACGGCGAGUGAAGCGGCAACAGCUCAAAUUUGAAAUCUGGCGCAAGCCCGAGUUGUAAUUUGUAGAGGAUGCUUCAGGGCAGCGGCCGGUCUAAGUUCCUUGGAACAGGACGUCAUAGAGGGUGAGAAUCCCGUAUGCGACCGGUUGGCACCCGUCACGUAGCUCCUUCGACGAGUCGAGUUGUUUGGGAAUGCAGCUCUAAAUGGGAGGUAAAUUUCUUCUAAAGCUAAAUACCGGCCAGAGACCGAUAGCGCACAAGUAGAGUGAUCGAAAGAUGAAAAGCACUUUGGAAAGAGAGUUAAAAAGCACGUGAAAUUGUUGAAAGGGAAGCGCAUGCAACCAGACUUGUCGGCGGUGUUCCGCCGGUCUUCUGACCGGUCUACUCGCCGCCGGCAGGCCAGCAUCAUCUGGGCGCGCCGGACAAAGGCGUGGGGAAUGUGGCUCCUCGGAGUGUUAUAGCCCCGCGCACAAUACGGCGCCGCUCGGGUGAGGUCCGCGCUUCGGCUAGGAUGCUGGCGUAAUGGUUGUUUGCGGCCCGUCUUGAAACACGGACCAAGGAGUCUAACAUCUAUGCGAGUGUUCGGGUGUCAAACCCCUACGCGUAAUGAAAGUGAACGGAGGUGGGAAGCGCAAGCUGCACCAUCGACCGAUCCUGAUGUCUUCGGAUGGAUUUGAGUAAGAGCAUAGCUGUUGGGACCCGAAAGAUGGUGAACUAUGCCUGAAUAGGGUGAAGCCAGAGGAAACUCUGGUGGAGGCUCGCAGCGGUUCUGACGUGCAAAUCGAUCGUCAAAUUUGGGUAUAGGGGCGAAAGACUAAUCGAACCAUCUAGUAGCUGGUUCCUGC
rnacentral:rRNA from 1 species